CCACCACUGCUCUUCUCCAAACAGCCGCGCCGCUAGUGUCAGAGAAAUGUGUGCAGAGCCCCGCAAUCAAGCUGCAAGGACAUCCAGAAGCAAAACAAAGGCCUGCGUAUCUGACAGAGAAAAACACUGUAAUCGCAGUUACAUACAAUGGCAUAGAGCUACCAAUCCAAUAUGCUGUCAUUUAUCAUCAGUGCACACAAAGACAGACACAGGAAGACAUACACACACACACACACACACAUACGCAAACUCUCUCUCUUUUUCUCUCUCUCUCUCUCACACACACACACAAACACUCUCCCUCUCCUUCUCCCUCUCUCUCACACACACACAUACACAAACUCUCCCUCUACUUCUCCCUCUCUCUCUCUCUCUCACACACACACACACACACACACUCCCUGACUGCUUGCGCAGGUGGUGCAGAUGCAUGUGAAGCUCUUGCAGUCCUACUCGGAUAAGCGCUCUCAGAACAUAUGUAUAAAUAUUUACUCAACCAAUGGAACCAGGACAAUUUGCAUGGAAAACUGCUUCAAACUGACAAGGGACAUAUAAUUUUGCUACACACAGAUGUGUUCUUAAAACGUAAAACGCCAGCUAUGUGUCGAUCCGUUUGGGGAAGCUGAUAGUGACUAUCAUGAGGAGUGUGUGAGGGGACGUAGACUGUAAAGAACUGGUCAAGCUGCAGGUUUUUCCGCUUUCAGUGUGCUUUUUUACAGACGGCCAGCCCUUGUGUAAAUCUACUCAGUAUUCAUGUGUCCUGGGGAGCGUCAUGACGACGGAGGGGAUCCAGCACUCACAUCAUGGCCAGACUAGUUACAGAACGGUCACCAACCAGGAGAUCCAGAUUGGUCAGCUGUGCCGGGUCAGCUGGACUUGUGACAGAACCGCCUCUGUUUAGGGCCCAAUAGAUUCCAGAACCACUCCACAUGCUAGGUUGGUGUUCUAGAACUAUCAGAUCGGGUUUUGGGUCAGCUCUUGAACUAGCCCAGAUUAGGGAUCAGUACUGGAUUAAUUCGGUAGUCCCCUGGGGAUGGAGUGUGUUGUGCAGUGGGGCUGGAGUGAUCUGUUACUGCAGUGGACUAAUAGAGGUGUGGGGUGGUCACUGUAGAGGUGUGGGGUGGUCACUAUCUAUAGAGGUGUGGGGUUGUCACUAUCUAUAGAGGUGUGGGGUGGUCACUAUCUAUAGAGGUGUGGGGUGAUCACUAUAGAGGUGUGGGGUGGUCACUAUCUAUAUAGGUGUGGGUGGUCACUAUAGAGGUGUGGGGUGGUCACUAUCUAUAGAGGUGUGGGGUGGUCACUAUCUAGAGGUGUGGGGUGGUCACUAUAGAGGUGUGGGGUGGUCACUAUCUAUAGAGGUGUGGGGUUGUCACUAUCUAUAGAGGUGUGGGGUGGUCACUAUCUAUAGAGGUGUGGGGUGGUCACUAUCUAGAGGUGUGGGGUGGUCACUAUAGAGGUGUGGGGUGGUCACUAUCUAUAGAGGUGUGGGGUUGUCACUAUCUAUAGAGGUGUGGGGUGGUCACUAUCUAUAGAGGUGUGGGGUGAUCACUAUAGAUGUGUGGGGUGGUCACUAUCUAUAGAGGUGUGGGGUGAUCACUAUAGAGGUGUGGGGUGGUCACUAUCUAUAUAGGUGUGGGUGGUCACUAUAGAGGUGUGGGGUGGUCACUAUCUAUAGAGGUGUGGGGUGGUCACUAUCUAUAGAGGUGUGGGGUGGUCACUAUCUAUAGAGGUGUGGGGUGAUCACUAUAGAGGUGUGGGGUGGUCACUAUCUAUAGAGGUGUGGGUGGUCACUAUAGAGGUGUGGGGGUGGUCACUAUAGAGGUGUGGGGUGGUCACUAUCUAUAGAGGUGUGGGGUGGUCACUAUCUAUAGAGGUGUGGGUGGUCACUGUAGAGGUGUGGGGUGGUCACUAUCUAUAGAGGUGUGGGGUGAUCACUAUAGAGGUGUGGGGUGGUCACUAUCUAUAGAGGUGUGGGGUGAUCACUAUAGAUGUGUGGGGUGGUCACUAUAGAGGUGUGGGGUGGUCACUAUCUAUAGAGGUGUGGGUGGUCACUAUAGAGGUGUGGGGUGGUCACUAUCUAUAGAGGUGUGGGGUGGUCACUAUCUAUAGAGGUGUGGGGUGAUCACUAUAGAGGUGUGGGGUGGUCACCAUCUAUAGAGGUGUGGGGUGAUCACUAUAGAGGUGUGGGGUGGUCACUAUCUAUAGAGGUGUGGGGUGGUCACUAUCUAUAGAGGUGUGGGGUGAUCACUAUAGAGGUGUGGGGUGGUCACUAUCUAUAGAGGUGUGGGGUGGUCACUAUAGAGAGGUGUGGGGUGGUCAUUGUUACUCCAGUGGGUGUUAGAGGUGUGGGGUGGUCACUGUGACUGCAGUGGGUGUUAGAGGUGUGGGGUGGUCACUGUGACUGCAGUGGGUGUUAGAGGUGUGGGGUGGUCAUUGUUACUGCAGUGGGUGUUAGAGGUGUGGGGUGGUCAUUGUUACUGCAGUGGGUGUUAGAGGUGUGGGGUGGUCACUAUCUAUAGAGGUGUGGGGUGGGUGUUGGAUGGUCACUGUCGGUCCCCCUGCUGUGUG